UACGUAGGGGGCAAGCGUUGUCCGGAAUCAUUGGGCGUAAAGAGCGUGUAGGCGGCCCGAUAAGUCCGCUGUGAAAGUCCAGGGCUCAACCCUGGGAUGCCGGUGGAUACUGUCGGGCUCGAGUCCGGAAGAGUAGUGUGGAAUUCCUGGUGUAGCGGUGGAAUGCGCAGAUAUCAGGAAGAACACCGAUGGCGAAGGCAGUUCUCUGGGCCGUAACUGACGCUGAGGAGCGAAAGCGUGGGGAGCGAACAGG
rnacentral:rRNA from 1 species